rnacentral:lncRNA from 1 species
CCCCACCAAGGCUAUAGCCCACCCGUUUUUUGGCCAUUUUUCCGCUGGGGGGUUUUGGCACCACGACCUUCGGGCGCUUAUUUUUAGGCGCGGCUUUGCCCGCGGCUUAUUUUUGGUGCCCCGAGGCCCUGCGCAAAGUCUCGCCCCAUUCCGAGUCCGGCGGACGAACUUCGCCCGCGCCCCCCACCAAGGCUAUAGCCCACCCGUUUUUUGGCCAUUUUUCCGCUGGGGGGUUUUGGCACCACGACCUUCGGGCGCUUAUUUUUGGGCGCGGCUUUGCCCGCGGCUUAUUUUUGGUGCCCCGAGGCCCUGCGCAAAGUCUCGCCCCAUUCCGAGUCCGGCGGACGAACUUCGCCCGCGCCCCCCACCAAGGCUAUAGCCCACCCGUUUUUUGGCCAUUUUUCCGCUGGGGGGUUUUGGCACCACGACCUUCGGGCGCUUAUUUUUAGGCGCGGCUUUGCCCGCGGGCUUAUUUUUGGUGCCCCCGAGGCCCCUGCGCAAAGUCUCGCCCCAUUCCGAGUCCGGCGGACGAACUUCGCCCGCGCCCCCCACCAAGGCUAUAGCCCACCCGUUUUUUGGCCAUGUUUCCGCUGGGGGGUUUUGGCACCACGACCUUCGGGCGCUUAUUUUUGGGCGCGGCUUUGCCCGCGGCUUAUUUUUGGUGCCCCGAGGCCCUGCGCAAAGUCUCGCCCCAUUCCGAGUCCGGCGGACGAACUUCGCCCGCGCCCCCCACCAAGGCUAUAGCCCACCCGUUUUUUGGCCAUUUUUCCGCUGGGGGGUUUUGGCACCACGACCUUCGGGCGCUUAUUUUUAGGCGCGGCUUUGCCCGCGGCUUAUUUUUGGUGCCCCGAGGCCCUGCGCAAAGUCUCGCCCCAUUCCGAGUCCGGCGGACGAACUUCGCCCGCGCCCCCCACCAAGGCUAUAGCCCACCCGUUUUUUGGCCAUGUUUCCGCUGGGGGGUUUUGGCACCACGACCUUCGGGCGCUUAUUUUUGGGCGCGGCUUUGCCCGCGGCUUAUUUUUGGUGCCCCGAGGCCCCUCGCAAAGUCUCGCCCCAUUCCGAGUCUGGCGGACGAACUUCGCCCGCGCCCCCCACCAAGGCUAUAGCCCACCCGUUUUUUGGCCAUUUUUCCGCUGGGGGGUUUUGGCACCACGACCUUCGGGCGCUUAUUUUUGGGCGCGGCUUUGCCCGCGGCUUAUUUUUGGUGCCCCGAGGCCCUGCGCAAAGUCUCGCCCCAUUCCGAGUCUGGCGGACGAACUUCGCCCGCGCCCCCCACCAAGGCUAUAGCCCACCCGUUUUUUGGCCAUUUUUCCGCUGGGGGGUUUUGGCACCACGACCUUCGGGCGCUUAUUUUUGGGCGCAGCUUUGCCCGCGGCUCAUUUUUUGUACCCCGAGGCCCCUCGCAAAGCCUCGCCCCAUUCCGAGUCCGGCGGACGAACUUCGCCCGCGCCCCCCACCAAGGCUAUAGCCCACCCGUUUUUUGGCCAUUUUUCUGCUGGGGGGGUUUGGCACCACGACCUUCGGGCGCUUAUUUUUGGAUGCGACUGUGUCCGCGACUUCCCACGGGCACCCCGAGGCCCCUCGCAAAGGCUCGCCCCAUUCCGAGUCCGGCGGACGAACUUCGCCCGCGCCGCCCACCAAGGCUAUAGCCCACCCGUUUUUUGGCCAUUUUUCCGCUGGGGGGUUUUGGCACCACGACCUUCGGGCGCUUAUUUUUGGACGCGGCUGUGCCCGCGACUUCCCGCGGGCACCCCGAGGCCCCUCGCAAAGUCUCGCCCCAUUCCGAGUCCGGCGGACGAACUUCGCCCGCGCCCCCCACCAAGGCUAUAGCCCACCCGUUUUUUGGCCAUUUUUCCGCUGGGGGGUUUUGGCACCACGACCUUUGGGCACUUAUUUUUGGGCACGGCUUUGCCCGCGGCUUAUGGUUCGCACCCCGAGGCCCCUCGCAAAGUCUCGCACCAUUCCGAGUCCGGCGGACGAACUUCGCCCGCGCCCCCCACCAAGGCUAUAGCCCACCCGUUUUUUGGCCAUUUUUCCGCUGGGGGGUUUUGGCACCACGACCUUCGGGUGCUUAUUUUUGGACGCGGCUGUGCCCGCGACUUCCCGCGGGCCCCCCGAGGCCCCUCGCAAAGUCUCGCCCCAUUCCGAGUCCGGCGGACGAACUUCGCCCGCGCCCCCCACCAAGGCUAUAGCCCACCCGUUUUUUGGCCAUUAUUCCGCUGGGGGGUUUUGGCACCACGACCUUUGGGCACUUAUUUUUGGCACCCCGAGGCCCCUCGCAAAGUCUCGCCCCAUUCGGAGUCCGGCGGACGAACUUCGCCCGCGCCCCCCACCAAGGCUAUAGCCCACCCGUUUUUUGGCCAUUUUUCCGCUGGGGGGUUUUGGCACCACGACCUUCGGGCGCGGAUUUUCCCACGGCUUAUUUUUGGCACCCCGAGGCCCCUCGCAAAGUCUCGCCCCAUUCCGAGUCCGGCGAACGAACUUCGCCCGCGCCCCCCACCAAGGCUAUAGCCCACCCGUUUUUUGGCCAUUUUUCCAAUGGCGGGUUUUGACACCACGACCUUCGGGCACUUAUUUUUGGACCCGGCUGUGUCCGCGACUUCCCGCGGGCACCCCGAGGCCCCUCGAAAAGUAUCGCCCCAUUCCAAGUCCGGCGGACGAACUUCGCCCGCGCCCCCCACCAAGGCUAUAGCCCACCCGUUUUUUGGCCAUUUUUCCGCUGGGGGGUUUUGGCACCACGACCUUCGGGCGCUUAUUUUUGGGUGCGGCUUUGCCCGCGGCUUAUUUUUGGCGCCCCGAGGCCCUGCGCAAAGUCUCGCCCCAUUCCGAGUCCGGCGGACGAACUUCGCCCGCGCCCCCCACCAAGGCUAUAGCCCACCCGUUUUUUGGCCAUUUUUCCGCUGGGGGGUUUUGGCACCACGACCUUCGGGCGCUUAUUUUUGGGCGCGGCCUUGUCCGCGGCUUAUUUUUGGCACCCCGAGGCCCCUCGCAAAGUCUCGCCCCAUUCCGAGUCCGGCAGACGAACUUCGCCCGCGCCCCCCACCAAGGCUAUAGCCCACCCGUUUUUUGGCCAUUUUUCCGCUGGGGGGUUUUGGCACCACGACCUUCGGGCGCUUAUUUUUGGGCGCGGCUUUGCCCGCGGCUUAUUUUUGGUGCCCCGAGGCCCUGCGCAAAGUCUCGCCCCAUUCCGAGUCUGGCGGACGAACUUCGCCCGCGCCCCCCACCAAGGCUAUAGCCCACCCGUUUUUUGGCCAUUUUUCCGCUGGGGGGUUUUGGCACCACGACCUUCGGGCGCUUAUUUUUGGGCGCAGCUUUGCCCGCGGCUCAUUUUUUGUACCCCGAGGCCCCUCGCAAAGCCUCGCCCCAUUCCGAGUCCGGCGGACGAACUUCGCCCGCGCCCCCCACCAAGGCUAUAGCCCACCCGUUUUUUGGCCAUUUUUCUGCUGGGGGGUUUUGGCACCACGACCUUCGGGCGCUUAUUUUUGGACGCGACUGUGUCCGCGACUUCCCACGGGCACCCCGAGGCCCCUCGCAAAGGCUCGCCCCAUUCCGAGUCCGGCGGACGAACUUCGCCCGCGCCGCCCACCAAGGCUAUAGCCCACCCGUUUUUUGGCCAUUUUUCCGCUGGGGGGUUUUGGCACCACGACCUUCGGGCGCUUAUUUUUGGACGCGGCUGUGCCCGCGACUUCCCGCGGGCACCCCGAGGCCCCUCGCAAAGUCUCGCCCCAUUCCGAGUCCGGCGGACGAACUUCGCCCGCGCCCCCCACCAAGGCUAUAGCCCACCCGUUUUUUGGCCAUUUUUCCGCUGGGGGGUUUUGGCACCACGACCUUUGGGCACUUAUUUUUGGGCACGGCUUUGCCCGCGGCUUAUGGUUCGCACCCCGAGGUCCCUCGCAAAGUCUCGCACCAUUCCGAGUCCGGCGGACGAACUUCGCCCGCGCCCCCCACCAAGGCUAUAGCCCACCCGUUUUUUGGCCAUUUUUCCGCUGGGGGGUUUUGGCACCACGACCUUCGGGUGCUUAUUUUUGGACGCGGCUGUGCCCGCGACUUCCCACGGGCCCCCCGAGGCCCCUCGCAAAGUCUCGCCCCAUUCCGAGUCCGGCGGACGAACUUCGCCCGCGCCCCCCACCAAGGCUAUAGCCCACCCGUUUUUUGGCCAUUAUUCCGCUGGGGGGUUUUGGCACCACGACCUUUGGGCACUUAUUUUUGGCACCCCGAGGCCCCUCGCAAAGUCUCGCCCCAUUCGGAGUCCGGCGGACGAACUUCGCCCGCGCCCCCCACCAAGGCUAUAGCCCACCCGUUUUUUGGCCAUUUUUCCGCUGGGGGGUUUUGGCACCACGACCUUCGGGCGCGGAUUUUCCCACGGCUUAUUUUUGGCACCCCGAGGCCCCUCGCAAAGUCUCGCCCCAUUCCGAGUCCGGCAGACGAACUUCGCCCGCGCCCCCCACCAAGGCUAUAGCCCACCCGUUUUUUGGCCAUUUUUCCGCUGGGGGGGUUUUGGCACCACGACCUUCGGGCGCUUAUUUUUGGACGCGGCUGUGCCCGCGAAUUCCCGCGGGCACCCCGAGGCCCCUCGCAAAGUCUCGCCCCAUUCCGAGUCCGGCGGACAAACUUCGCCCGCGCCCCCCACCAAGGCUAUAGCCCACCCGUUUUUUGGCCAUUUUUCCGCUGGGGGGUUUUGGCACCACGACCUUCGGGCGCUUAUUUUUGGACGCGGCUGUGCCCGCGACUUCUUUUGGGCACCCCAAGGCCCCUCGCAAAAUCUCGCCCCAUUCCGAGUCCGGCGGACGAACUCGCCCGCGCCCCCCACCAAGCUAUAGCCCACCCAUUUUUCGCCAUUUUUCCGCGGGGGGUUUUUGCCACACGACCUUUCGGCGCUUAUUUUUGGGCGCGGCCUUGCCCACGGCUUAUUUUUGGCACCCCGAGGCCCCUCGCAAAGUCUCGCCCCAUUCCGAGUCCGGCGGACGAACUUCGCCAGCGCCCCCCACUAAGGCUAUAGCCCACCCGUUUUUUGGCCAUUUUUCCGCUGGGGGGUUUUGGCACCACGACCUUCGGGUGCUUAUUUUUGGAUGCGGCUGUGCCCGCGACUUCCCGCGGGCACCCCGAGGCCCCUCGCAAAGUCACGCCCCAUUCUGAGUCCGGCGGACGAACUUCGCCCGCGCCCCCCACCAAGGCUAUAGCCCACCCGUUUUUUGGCCAUUUUUCCGCUGGGGGGUUUUGGCACCACGACCUUCGGGCGCUUAUUUUUGGGUUCGGCUUUGCCCGCGGCUUAUUUUUGGUGCGCCGAGGCCCCUCGCAAAGUCUCGCCCCAUUCCGAGUCCGGCGGACGAACUUCGCCCGCGCCCCCCACCAAGGCUAUAGCCCACCCGUUUUUUGGCCAUUUUUCCGCUGGGGGGUUUUGGCACCACGACCUUCAGGCGUUUAUUUUUGGGCACGGCUUUGCCCGCGGCUUAUUUUUGGUGCGCCGAGGCCCCUCGCAAAGUCUCGCCCCAUUCCGAGUCCGGCGGACGAACUUCGCCCGCGCCCCCCACGAAGGCUAUAGCCCACCCGUUUUUUGGCCAUUUUUCCGCUGGCGGGUUUUGGCACCACGACCUUCGGGCGCUUAUUUUUGGGCGCGGCUUUGCCCGCGGCUUAUUUUUGGCACCCCGAGGCCCCUCGCAAAGUCUCGCCCCAUUCCGAUUCCGGCGGACGAACUUCGCACGCGCCCCCCACUAAGGCUAUAGCCCACCCGUUUUUUGGCCAUUUUUCCGCUGGGGGGUUUUGGCACCACGACCUUCGGGUGCUUAUUUUUGGACGCGGCUGUGCCCGCGACUUCCCGCAGGCACCCCGAGGCCCCUCGCAAAGUCACGCCCCAUUCUGAGUCCGGCGGACGAACUUCGCCCGCGCCCCCCACCAAGGCUAUAGCCCACCCGUUUUUUGGCCAUUUUUCCGCUGGGGGGUUUUGGCACCACGACCUUCAGGCGCUUAUUUUUGGUGCGCCGAGGCCCCUCGCAAAGUCUCGCCCCAUUCCGAGCCCGGCGGACGAACUUCGCCCGCGCCCCCCACCAAGGCUAUAGCCCACCCGUUUUUUGGCCAUUUUUCCGCUGGGGGGUUUUGGCACCACGACCUUCAGGCGCUUAUUUUUGGGCGCGGCUUUGCCCGCGGCUUAUUUUUGGUGCGCCGAGGCCCCUCGCAAAGUCUCGCCCCAUUCCGAGUCCGGCGGACGAACUUCGCUCGCGCCCCCCACGAAGGCUAUAGGCCACCCGUUUUUUGGCCAUUUUUCCGCUGGCGGGUUUUGGCACCACGACCUUCGGGCGCUUAUUUUUGGGCGCGGCUUUGCCCGCGGCUUAUUUUUGGCGCCCCGAGGCUCCUCGCAAAGUCUCGCCCCAUUCCGAGUCCGGCGGACGAACUUCGCCCGCGCCCCCCACCAAGGCUAUAGCCCACCCGUUUUUUGGCCAUUUUUCCGCUGGGGGGUUUUGGCACCACGACCUUCGGGCGCUUAUUUCUGGACGCGGCUGUGCCCGCGACUUCCCGCGGGCACCCCGAGGCCCCUCGCAAAGUCUCGCCCCAUUCCGAGUCCGGCGGACGAACUUCGCCCGCGCCCCCUACCAAGGCUAUACCCCACCCGUUUUUUGGCCAUUUUUCCGCUGGGGGUUUUGGCACCACGACCUUUCGGCUUCUUAAUUUUCUGGAACCCGGCUGUGCCCCGUGACUUCCCGCGGGCACCCCGAGGCCCCUCGCAAAGUCUCGCCCCAUUCCGAGUCCGGCGGACGAACUUCGCCCGCGCCCCCCACCAAGGCUAUAGCCCACCCGUUUUUUGGCCAUUUUUCCGCUGGGGGGUUUUGGCACCACGACCUUCGGGCGCUUAUUUUUGGGCGCGGCCUUGCCCGUGGCUUAUUUUUGGCACCCCGAGGCCCCUCGCAAAGUCUCGCCCCAUUCCGAGUCCGGCAGACGAACUUCGCCCGCGCCCCCCACCAAGGCUAUAGCCCACCCGUUUUUUGGCCAUUUUUCCGCUGGGGGGGUUUUGGCACCACGACCUUCGGGCGCUUAUUUUUGGACGCGGCUGUGCCCGCGACUUCCCGCGGGCACCCCGAGGCCCCUCGCAAAGUCUCGCCCCAUUCCGAGUCCGGCGGACGAACUUCGCCCGCGCCCCCCACCAAGGCUAUAGCCCACCCGUUUUUUGGCCAUUUUUCCGCUGGGGGGUUUUGGCACCACGACCUUCGGGCGCUUAUUUUUGGACGCGGCUGUGCCCGCGACUUCCCGCGGGCACCUCGAGGCCCCUCGCAAAGUCUCGCCCCAUUCCGAGUCCGGCGGACGAACUUCGCCCGCACCCCCCACCAAGGCUAUAGCCCACCCGUUUUUUGGCUAUUUUUCCGCUGGGGGGUUUUGGCACCACGACCUUCGGGUGCUUAUUUUUGGACGCGGCUGUGCCCGCGACUUCCCGCGGGCACCUCGAGGCCCCUCGUAAAGUCUCGCCCCAUUCCGAGUCCGGCGGACGAACUUCGCCCGCGCCCCCCACCAAGGCUAUAGCCCACCCGUUUUUUGGCCAUUUUUCCGCUGGGGGGGUUUUGGCACCACGACCUUCGGGCGCUUAUUUUUGGACGCGGCUGUGCCCGCGACUUCCCGCGGGCACCCCGAGGCCCCUCGCAAAGUCUCGCCCCAUUCCGAGUCCGGCGGACGAACUUCGCCCGCGCCCCCCACCAAGGCUAUAGCCCACCCGUUUUUUGGCCAUUUUUCCGCUGGGGGGUUUUGGCACCACGACCUUCGGGCGCUUAUUUUUGGACGCGGCUGUGCCCGCGACUUCCCGCGGGCACCCCGAGGCCCCUCGCAAAGUCUCGCCCCAUUCCGAGUCCGGUGGACGAACUUCGCCCGCGCCCCCCACCAAGGCUAUAGCCCACCCAUUUUUUGGCCAUUUUUCCGCUGGGGGGUUUUGGCACCACGACCUUCGGGCGCUUAUUUUUGGGCGCGGCCUUGCCCACGGCUUAUUUUUGGCACCCCGAGGCCCCUCGCAAAGUCUCGCCCCAUUCCGAGUCCGGCGGACGAACUUCGCCAGCGCCCCCCACCAAGGCUAUAGCCCACCCGUUUUUUGGCCAUUUUUCCGCUGGGGGGUUUUGGCACCACGACCUUCGGGCGCUUAUUUUUGGACGCGGCUGUGCCCGCGACUUCCCGCGGGCACUCCGAGGCCCCUCGCAAAGUCUCGCCCCAUUCCGAGUCCGGCGGACGAACUUCGCCCGCGCCCCCCACCAAGGCUAUAGCCCACCCGUUUUUUGGCCAUUUUUCCGCUGGGGGGUUUUGGCACCACGACCUUCGGGCGCUUAUUUUUGGGCGCGGCUUUGCCCGCGGCUUAUUUUUGGCACCCCGAGGCCCCUCGCAAAGUCUCGCCCCAUUCCGAUUCCGGCGGACGAACUUCGCACGCGCCCCCCACUAAGGCUAUAGCCCACCCGUUUUUUGGCCAUUUUUCCGCUGGGGGGUUUUGGCACCACGACCUUCGGGUGCUUAUUUUUGGACGCGGCUGUGCCCGCGACUUCCCGCAGGCACCCCGAGGCCCCUCGCAAAGUCACGCCCCAUUCUGAGUCCGGCGGACGAACUUCGCCCGCGCCCCCCACCAAGGCUAUAGCCCACCCGUUUUUUGGCCAUUUUUCCGCUGGGGGGUUUUGGCACCACGACCUUCAGGCGCUUAUUUUUGGUGCGCCGAGGCCCCUCGCAAAGUCUCGCCCCAUUCCGAGCCCGGCGGACGAACUUCGCCCGCGCCCCCCACCAAGGCUAUAGCCCACCCGUUUUUUGGCCAUUUUUCCGCUGGGGGGUUUUGGCACCACGACCUUCAGGCGCUUAUUUUUGGGCGCGGCUUUGCCCGCGGCUUAUUUUUGGUGCGCCGAGGCCCCUCGCAAAGUCUCGCCCCAUUCCGAGUCCGGCGGACGAACUUCGCUCGCGCCCCCCACGAAGGCUAUAGGCCACCCCUUUUUUGGCCAUUUUUCCGCUGGCGGGUUUUGGCACCACGACCUUCGGGCGCUUAUUUUUGGGCGCGGCUUUGCCCGCGGCUUAUUUUUGGCGCCCCGAGGCUCCUCGCAAAGUCUCGCCCCAUUCCGAGUCCGGCGCACGAACUUCGCCCGCGCCCCCCACCAAGGCUAUAGCCCACCCGUUUUUUGGCCAUUUUUCCGCUGGGGGGUUUUGGCACCAUGACCUUCGGGCGCUUAUUUCUGGACGCGGCUGUGCCCGCGACUUCCCGCGGGCACCCCGAGGCCCCUCGCAAAGUCUCGCCCCAUUCCGAGUCCGGCGGACGAACUUCGCCCGCGCCCCCCACCAAGGCUAUAGCCCACCCGUUUUUUGGCCAUUUUUCCGCUGGGGGGUUUUGGCACCACGACCUUCGGGCUCUUAUUUCUGGACGCGGCUGUGCCCGCGACUUCCCGCGGGCACCCCGAGGCCCCUCGCAAAGUCUCGCCCCAUUCCGAGUCCGGCGGACGAACUUCGCCCGCGCCCCCCACCAAGGCUAUAGCCCACCCAUUUUUUGGCCAUUUUUCCGCUGGGGGGUUUUGGCAACACGACCUUCGGGCACUUAUUUUUGGGCGCGGCGUUGCCCGCGGCUUAUUUUGGGCACCCCGAGGCCCCUCGCAAAGUCUCGCCCCAUUCCGAGUCCGGCGGACGAACUUCGCCCGCGCCCCCCACCAAGGCUAUAGCCCACCCGUUUUUUGGCCAUUUUUCCGCUGGGGGGUUUUGGCACCACGACCAUCGGGCUCUUAUUUUUGGACGCGGCUUGUCCAGCGACUUCCCGCGGGCACCCCGAGGCCCCUCGCAAAGUCUCGCCCCAUUCCGAGUCCGGCGGACGAACUUCGCCCGCGCCCCCCACCAAGGCUAUAGCCCACCCGUUUUUUGGCCAUUUUUCCGCUGGGGGGUUUUGGCACCACGACCUUCGGGCACUUAUUUUUGGACGCAGCUGUGCCCGCGACUUCCCGCGAGCACCCCGAAGCCCCUCGCAAAGUCUCGCCCCAUUCCGAGUCCGGCGGACGAACUUCGCCCGCGCCCCCCACCAAGGCUAUAGCCCACCCGUUUUUUGGCCAUUUUUCCGCUGGGGGGUUUUGGCACCACGACUUUCGGGCGCUUAUUUUUGGGCGCGGCUUUGCCCGCAGCUUAUUUUUGGCGCCCCGAGGCCCUGCACAAAGUCUCGCCCCAUUCCGAGUCCGGCGGACGAACUUCGCCCGCGCCCCCCACCAAGGCUAUAGCCCAGCCGUCUUUUGGCCAUUUUUCCGCUGGGGGGUUUUGGCACCACGACCUUCAGGCGCUUAUUUUUGGGCGCAGCUUUGCCCACGGCUUAUUUUUGGUGCCCCGAUGCCCCUCGCAAAGUCUCGCCCCAGUCCGAGUCCGGCGGACGAACUUCGCCCGCGCCCCCCACCAAGGCUAUAGCCCACCCGUUUUUUGGCCAUUUUUCCGCUGGGGGGUUUUGGCACCACGACCUUCGGGCGCUUAUUUCUGGACGCGGCUGUGCCCGCGACUUCCCGCGGGCACCCCGAGGCCCCUCGCAAAGUCUCGCCCCANNNNNNNNNNNNNNNNNNNNNNNNNNNNNNNNNNNNNNNNNNNNNNNNNNNNNNNNNNNNNNNNNNNNNNNNNNNNNNNNNNNNNNNNNNNNNNNNNNNNCCAACCCGUUUUUUGGCCAAUUUUCCGCUGGGGGGGUUUUGGCACCACGACCUUCGGGCUCUUAUUUCUGGACGCGGCUGUGCCCGUGACUUCCCGCGGGCACCCCGAGGCCCCUCGCAAAGUCUCGCCACAUUCCGAGUCCGGCGGACGAACUUCGCCCGCGCCCCCCACCAAGGCUAUAGCCCACCCGUUUUUUGGCCAUUUUUCCGCUGGGGGGUUUUGGCAACACGACCUUCGGGCGCUUAUUUUUGGACACGGCUGUGCCCGCGACUUCCCGCGGGCACCCCAAGGCCCCUCGCAAAGUCUCGCCCCAUUCCGAGUCCGGCGGACGAACUUCGCCCGCGCCCCCCACCAAGGCUAUAGCCCACCCGUUUUUUGGCCAUUUUUCCGCUGGGGGGUUUUGGCACCACGACCUUCGGGCGCUUAUUUUUGGACGCGGCUGUGCCCGCGACUUCCCGCGGGCACCUCGAGGCCCCUCGCAAAGUCUCGCCCCAUUCCGAGUCCGGCGGACGAACUUCGCCCGCGCCCCCCACCAAGGCUAUAGCCCACCCGUUUUUUGGCCAUUUUUCCGCUGGGGGGUUUUGGCACCACGACCUUUGGGCGCUUAUUUUUGGGCGCGGCUUUGUCCGCGGCUUAUUUUUGGCACCCCGAGGCCCCUAGCAAAGUCUCGCCCCAUUCCGAGUCCGGCGGACGAACUUCGCCCGCGCCCCCCACCAAGGCUAUAGCCCACCCGUUUUUUGGCCAUUUUUCCGCUGGGGGGUUUUGGCACCACGACCUUCGGGCGCUUAUUUUUGGGCACGGCUUUGCCCGCGGCUUAUUUUUGGUGCCCCGAGGCCCCUCGCAAAGUCUCGCCCCAUUCCGAGUCCGGCAGACGAACUUCGCCCGCGCCCCCCACCAAGGCUAUAGCCCACCCGUUUUUUGGCCAUUUUUCCGCUGGGGGGGUUUUGGCACCACGACCUUCGGGCGCUAAUUUUUGGGUGCGGCUGUGCCCGCGACUUCCCGCGGGCACCCCGAGGCCCCUCGCAAAAUCUCGCCCCAUUCCGAGUCCGGCGGACGAACUUCGCCCGCGCCCCCCACCAAGGCUAUAGCCCACCCGUUUUUUGGCCAUUUUUCCGCUGGGGGGUUUUGGCACCACGACCAUCGGGCGCUUAUUUUUGGGCGCGGCUGUGCCCGCGACUUCCCGCGGGCACCCCGAGGCCCCUCGCAAAGUCUCGCCCCAUUCCGAGUCCGGCGGACGAACUUCGCCCGCGCCCCCCACCAAGGCUAUAGCCCACCCGUUUUUUGGCCAUUUUUCCGCUCGGGGGUUUUGGCACCACGACCUUCGGGUGCUUAUGUUUGGGCGCGGCUUUGCCCGCGGCUUAUUUUUGGCACCCCGAGGCCCCUUGCAAAGUCUCGCCCCAUUCCGAGUCCGGCGGACGAACUUCGCCCGCGCCCCCCACCAAGGCUAUAGCCCACCCGUUUUUUGGCCAUUUUUCCGCUGGGAGGUUUUGGCACCACGACCUUCGGGCGCUUAUUUUUGGGCGCGGCUUUGCCCGCGGCUUAUUUUUGGCACCCCGAGGCCCCUCGCAAAGUCUCGCCGCAUUCCGAGUCCGGCGGACGAACUUCGCCCGCGCCCCCCACCAAGGCUAUAGCCCACCCGUUUUUUGGCCAUUUUUCCGCUGGGGGGUUUUGGCUCCACGACCUUCGGGCGCUUAUUUUUGGGCGCGGCUUUGCCCGCGGCUUAUUUUUGGCACCCCGAGGCCCCUCGCAAAGUCUUGCGGCAUUCCGAGUCCGGCGGACGAACUUCGCCCGCGCCCCCCACCAAGGCUAUAGCCCACCCGUUUUUUGGCCAUUUUUCCGCUGGGGGGUUUUGGCACCACGACCUUCGGGCGCUUAUUUUUGGGCGCGGCUUGGCCCGCGGCUUAUUUUUGGCACCCCGAGGCCCCUCGCAAAGUCUCGCCCCAUUCCGAGUCCGGCGGACGAACUUCGCCCGCGCCCCCCACCAAGGCUAUAGCCCACCCGUUUUUUGGCCAUUUUUCCGGUGGGGGGUUUUGGCACCACGACCUUCGGGCGCUUAUUUCUGGGCGCGGCUUUGCCCGCGGCUUAUUUUUGGCACCCCGAGGCCCCUCGCAAAGUCUCGCCGCAUUCCGAGUCCGGCGGACGAACUUCGCCCGCGCCCCCCACCAAGACUAUAGCCCACCCGUUUUUUGGCCAUUUUUCCGCUGGGGGGUUUUGGCACCACGACCUUCGGGCGCUUAUUUUUGGGCGCGGCUUUGCCCGGGGCUUAUUUUUGGCACGCCGAGGCCCCUCGCAAAGUCUCGCCGCAUUCCGAGUCCGGCGGACGAACUUCGCCCGCGCCCCCCACCAAGGCUAUAGCCCACCCGUUUUUUGGCCAUUUUUCCGCUGGGGGGUUUUGGCACCACGACCUUCGGGCGCUUAUUUUUGGGCGCGGCUUUGCCCGCGGCUUAUUUUUGGCACCCCGAGGCCCCUCGCAAAGUCUCGCCGCAUUCCGAGUCCGGCGGACGAACUUCGCCCGCGCCCCCCACCAAGGCUAUAGCCCACCCGUUUUUUGGCCAUUUUUCCGCUGGGGGGUUUUGGCACCACGACCUUCGGGCGCUUAUUUUUGGGCGCGGCUUUGCCCGCGGCUUAUUUUUGGCACCCCGAGGCCCCUCGCAAAGUCUCGCCGCAUUCCGAGUCCGGCGGACGAACUUCGCCCGCGCCCCCCACCAAGGCUAUAGCCCACCCGUUUUUUGGCCAUUUUUCCGCUGGGGGGUUUUGGCACCACGACCUUCGGGCGCUUAUUUUUGGGCGCGGCUUUGCCCGCGGCUUAUUUUUGGCACCCCGAGGCCCCUCGCAAAGUCUCGCCGCAUUCCGAGUCCGGCGGACGAACUUCGCCCGCGCCCCCCACCAAGGCUAUAGCCCACCCGUUUUUUGGCCAUUUUUCCGCUGGGGGGUUUUGGCACCACGACUUUCGGGCGCUUAUUUUUGGGCGCGGCUUUGCCCGCGGCUUAUUUUUGGCACCCCGAGGCCCCUCGCAAAGUCUCGCCGCAUUCCGAGUCCGGCGGACGAACUUCGCCCGCGCCCCCCACCAAGGCUAUAGCCCACCCGUUUUUUGGCCAUUUUUCCGCUGGGGGGUUUUGGCACCACGACCUUCGGGCGCUUAUUUUUGGGCGCGGCUUUGCCCGCGGUUUAUUUUUGGCACCCCGAGGCCCCUCGCAAAGUCUCGUCGCAUUCCGAGUCCGGCGGACGAACUUCGCCCGCGCCCCCCACCAAGGCUAUAGCCCACCCGUUUUUUGGCCAUUUUUCCGCUGGGGGGUUUUGGCACCACGACCUUCGGGCGCGGCUUUGCCCGCGGCUUAUUUUUGGCACCCCGAGGCCCCUCGCAAACUCUCGCCCCAUUCCGAGUCCGGCGGACGAACUUCGCCCGCGCCCCCCGCCAAGGCUAUAGCCCACCCGUUUUUUGGCCAUUUUUCCGCUGGGGGGUUUUGGCACCACGACCUUCGGGCGCUUAUUUCUGGGCGCGGCUUUGCCCGCGGCUUAUUUUUGGCACCCCGAGGCCCCUCGCAAAGUCUCGCCGCAUUCCGAGUCCGGCGGACGAACGUCGCCCGCGCCCCCCACCAAGGCUAUAGCCCACCCGUUUUUUGGCCAUUUUUCCACUCGGGGGUUUUGGCACCACGACCUUCGGGCACUUAUGUUUGGGCGCGGCUUUGCCCGCGGCUUAUUUUUGGCACCCCGAGGCCCCUCGCAAAGUCUCGCCCCAUUCCGAGUCCGGCGGACGAACUUCGCCCGCGCCCCCCACCAAGGCUAUAGCCCACCCGUUUUUUGGCCAUUUUUCCGCUGGGGGGUUUUGGCACCACGACCUUCGGGCGCUUAUUUUUGGGCGCGGCUUUGCCCCCGGCUUAUUUUUGGUACCCCGAGGCCCCUCGCAAAGUCUCGCCCCAUUCCGAGUCCGGCGGACGAACUUCGCCCGCGCCCCCCACCAAGGCUAUAGCCCACCCGUUUUUGGGCCAUUUUUCCGCUGGGGGGUUUUGGCACCACGACCUUCGGGCGCUUAAUUUUGGGCACGGCUUUUCCCGCGGCUUAUUUUUGGCACCCCGAGGCCCCUCGCAAAGUCUCGCCCCAUUCCGAGUCCGGCGGACGAACUUCGCCCGCCCCCCCCACCAAGGCUAUAGCCCACCCAUUUUUUGGCCAUUUUUCCGCUGGGGGUUUUGGCAGCACGACCUUCAGGCCCUUAUUUUUGGGCGCGGCUUAUUUUUGGCACCCCGAGGCCCCUCGUAAAGUCUCGCCCCAUUCCGAGUCCGGGGGACGAACUUCGCCCGCGCCCCCCACCAAGGCUAUAGCCCACCCGUUUUUUGGCCAUUUUUCCGCUGGGGGGUUUUGGCGCCACGACCUUCGGGCGCUUAUUUUUGGGCGCGGCUUUGCCCGCGGCUUAUUUUUUGCCCCCCGAGGCCCCUCGCGAAGUCUCGCCCCAUUCCGAGUCCGGCGGACGAACUUCGCCCGCGCUCCCCACCAAGGUCAUAGCCCACCCGUUUUUUGGCCAUUUUUCCGCUGGGGGGUUUUGGCACCAUGACCUUCGGGCGCUUAUUUUUGGGCGCGGCUUUGCCCGGGCUUAUUUUUGGCACCACGAGGCACCUCGCAAAGUCUCGGCCCAUUCCGAGUCCGGCGGACGAAAUUCGCCCGCGCCCCACACCAAGGCUAUAGCCCACCCGUUUUUUGGCCAUUUUUCCGCUGGGGGGUUUUGGCACCACGACCUUCGGGCGCUUAUUUUUGGGCGCGGCUUUGCCCCCGGCUUAUUUUUGGUACCCCGAAGCCCCUCGCAAAGUCUCGCCCCAUUCCGAGUCCGGCGGACGAACUUCGCCCGCGCCCCCCACCAAGGCUAUAGCCCACCCGUUUUUUGGCCAUUUUUCCGCUGGGGGGUUUUGGCACCACGACCUUCGGGCGCUUAUUUUUGGGCACGGCUUUUCCCGCGGCUUAUUUUCAGCACCCCGAGGCCCCUCGCAAAGUCUCGCCCCAUUCCGAGUCCGGCGGACGAACUUCGCCCGCGCCCCCCACCAAGGCUAUAGCCCACCCAUUUUUUGGCCAUUUUUCCGCUGGGGGUUUUGGCACCACGACCUUCAGGCCCUUAUUUUUUGGCGCGGCUUAUUUUUGGCACCCCGAGGCCCCUCGUAAAGUCUCGCUCCAUUCCGAGUCGGGCGGAACGAACUUCGCCCGCGCCCCCCACCAAGGCUAUAGCCCACCCGUUUUUUGGCCAUUUUUCCGCUGGGGGGGUUUGGCCCCACGACCCUCGGCAGCUUAUUUUUGGGCGCGGUUUUGCUCGCGGCUUAUUUUUGGGCACCCAAGGCCCCCCCCAAUGCCUCCCCCCAUUCCGAGUCCGGGGGAAGAACUUCCCCCGCCCCCCCNNNNNNNNNNNNNNNNNNNNNNNNNNNNNNNNNNNNNNNNNNNNNNNNNNNNNNNNNNNNNNNNNNNNNNNNNNNNNNNNNNNNNNNNNNNNNNNNNNNNNNNNNNNNNNNNNNNNNNNNNNNNNNNNNNNNNNNNNNNNNNNNNNNNNNNNNNNNNNNNNNNNNNNNNNNNNNNNNNNNNNNNNNNNNNNNNNNNNNNNNNNNNNNNNNNNNNNNNNNNNNNNNNNNNNNNNNNNNNNNNNNNNNNNNNNNNNNNNNNNNNNNNNNNNNNNNNNNNNNNNNNNNNNNNNNNNNNNNNNNNNNNNNNNNNNNNNNNNNNNNNNNNNNNNNNNNNNNNNNNNNNNNNNNNNNNNNNNNNNNNNNNNNNNNNNNNAUAGCCCACCCGUUUUUUGGCCAUUUUUCCGCUGGGGGGUUUUGGCACCACAACCUUCGGGCGCUGAUUUUUGGGCGCGUCUUUGCCCGCCGCUUAUUUUGGCUUCCCGAAGGCCCCCCCAAAGUCUCGCCCCAUUCCGAGUCCGGCGGACGAACUUCGCCCGCGCCCCCCACCAAGGCUAUAGCCCACCCGUUUUUUGGCCAUUUUUCCGCUGGGGGGUUUUGGUUGCCACGACCUUCGGGCGCUUAUUUUUGGGCGCGGCUUUGCCCGCGGCUUAUUUUUGGCACCCCGAGGCCCCUCGCAAUGUCUCGCCCCAUUCCGAGUCCGGCGGACGAACUUCGCCCGCCCCCCCCACCAAGGCUAUAGCCCACCCGUUUUUUGGCCAUUUUUCCGCUGGGGGGUUUUGGCACCCGACCUUCGGGCGCUGCUUUUUGGGCGCGGCUUUGCCCUUGGCUUAUUUUUGGCACCCCGAGGCCCCUCGCAAAGUCUCGCCCCAUUCCGAGUCCGGCGGACGAACUUCGCCCGCGCCCCCCACCAAGGCUAUAGCCCACCCGUUUUUUGGCCAUUUUUCCGCUGGGGGGUUUUGGCGCCACGACCUUCGGGCGCUUAUUUUUGGGCGCGGCUUUGCCCGCGGCUUAUUUUUGGCACCCCGAGGCCCCUCGCAAAGUCUCGCCCCAUUCCGAGUCCGGCGGACGAACUUCGCCCGCCCCCCCCCACCAAGGCUAUAGCCCACCCGUUUUUUGGCCAUUUUUCCGCUAGGGGGUUUUGGCACCACGACCUUCGGGCGCUGAUUUUUGGGCGCGGCUUUGCCCGCGGCUUAUUUUUGGCACCCCGAGGCCCCUCGCAAAGUCUCGCCCCAUUCCGAGUCCGGCGGACGAACUUCGCCC